rnacentral:rRNA from 1 species
UACGUAGGGCGCGAGCGUUGUCCGGAAUCAUUGGGCGUAAAGGGCUCGUAGGCGGUCUGUCACGUCGGGAGUGAAAACACGGGGCUUAACCCCGUGCCUGCUUCCGAUACGGGCAGACUAGAGGUAUGCAGGGGAGAACGGAAUUCCUGGUGUAGCGGUGAAAUGCGCAGAUAUCAGGAGGAACACCGGUGGCGAAGGCGGUUCUCUGGGCAUUACCUGACGCUGAGGAGCGAAAGUGUGGGGAGCGAACAGG